rnacentral:rRNA from 1 species
CGGGAUGAUGGAGCUUGCUCCAUCAUCUAGUGGCGGACGGGUGAGUAACACGUGAGCAACCUGCCGAGAAGUGGGGGAUAACGUCUGGAAACGGACGCUAAUACCGCAUAACAUCACGGGGAGACAUCUCCCUGUGAUCAAAGGAGCAAUCCGCUUUUUGAUGGGCUCGCGCCCGAUUAGAUAGUUGGUGAGGUAAUGGCUCACCAAGUCUGCGAUCGGUAGCCGGACUGAGAGGUUGAUCGGCCACAUUGGGACUGAGACACGGCCCAGACUCCUACGGGAGGCAGCAGUGGGGAAUAUUGCACAAUGGGGGAAACCCUGAUGCAGCGACGCCGCGUGAGUGAAGACGGUCUUCGGAUUGUAAAGCUCUGUCGAGGGGGACGAUAAUGACGGUACCCCUCAAGAAAGCCACGGCUAACUACGUGCCAGCAGCCGCGGUAAUACGUAGGUGGCGAGCGUUGUCCGGAAUUACUGGGUGUAAAGGGAGCGCAGGCGGGGAGCCAAGUUGGAUGUGAAAUACCGCAGCUCAACUGCGGGGCUGCAUCCAAAACUGGUUCUCUUGAGUGAAGUAGAGGUAGGCGGAAUUCCUAGUGUAGCGGUGAAAUGCGUAGAUAUUAGGAGGAACACCAGUGGCGAA